GAAUUUAAACUCAGCGUCAUCACACGCAAAAAUCGAUCGUACGGUCUUCAACACAAGACUCAAUAUUGCCCAGCCACUGCACUGGCUUAGAAAUGUAAAAAAAAAUCACAUCGUUACUAAUAGGACGAAGCAGCCCAUAGGUACUUCCCUAUAAAAUGGAGUAUAAAUAUGAAGUAUGAGUUCAUUGAUUCACAGUCACAGUUCAUUUGUUUUCGUGUAACCUUGUUCUACUUGCUCCAUAUACUUCAUAAUGAAACUCCUAGGCAUUUUGUUCGUAAUGUGUGCAGUGCUCAUGGUAGCAUUCGCUAAAUCCUUAUCUAUGAACCACGUAUUGAAAAUAUACGAAAUCACUCGCGCGGAUACAGGAGAAACGACGAAGGUAGCGACUGAAGCUCUAUACAUACCGCUGACGUUGAAGGAUUGUUCCAACUCGGCUUGUGACUAUGUUUGCAGAAUGCUGGGCUAUAACCACGGAGCAUGCAUAUCUUCUACAACCUGCCAUUGUACCAAUUAAUAUAAGAUAAUAAGAUUUUGUUUAUUUUUUUUAUGUUUUGAAAUAUCGAGCCGUGUGAAAUAAAUAUUUGAAAGUCUUAAA